rnacentral:rRNA from 1 species
GACGAACGCUGGCGGCGUGCUUAACACAUGCAAGUCGAACGGAAAGGCCCUGCUUUUGUGGGGUGCUCGAGUGGCGAACGGGGGAGUAACACGUGAGUAACCUGUCCUUGACUUAGGGAUAACUUCAGGGAACUGGGGCUAAUACCGGAUAGGAGCUCCUGCUGCAUGGUGGGGGUUGGAAAGUUUCGGCGGUUGGGGAUGGAAUAGCGGCUUAUCAGCUUGUUGGUGGGGUAGUGGCUUACCAAGGCUUUGACGGGUAGCCCGCCUGGGCGGGGGGACGGGCCCCAUAGGACUGAGGGAAGGCCCAGACUCCUACGGGAGGCAGCAGUGGGGAGUAUUGCACAAUGGGCGGAAGCCUGAUGCAGCAACGCCGCGUGCGGGAUGACCGCCUUCGGGUUGUAAACCGCUGUCGCCUGUGACGAAGAGUGAGUGACGGUAAUGGGUAAAGAAGCACCGGCUAACUACGUG